GCUAUUUUAGUUUAAAUUAAAGAAUAUAUAACUUGUAAUUAUAGGGUUUAAGUUAGCA
rnacentral:tRNA from 1 species